AGAGGUUAGCUAAAUAUCUUAACUACCCAGAUCCCAUCUGAUCUUGGAAGCUAAGCAGGGUCAGCCCUGGCUGGGACUUAGAUGGGAGACCACCAAUGAAUACCAGCUGUAGUAGCCUAUA
rnacentral:rRNA from 11 species